UCAUUUGCUUUCCUUUGAAUUUCCAAGGUUUUCUUGACACAUUUUGCUUGCAAUUAGUCUUCAUCAUUAUUAUCAAAUAUCUUGUAUUUAUAGGGUUGUUAUAUCAAACAUUGAAGUUAGUUAUUAGCUACUAAUGGCACCUUCAAGAACUUGCCCAAUUUGCUUGAGGAUGCUUAUCACAGUCAUUAUUCUUAUGUCUCUCACAAUCUCACAUUCCAUGUCAGUUAAUGAAGGGGUUCGGGUAUCUCGAGUACAACAAAGGAAAAAGGUACUGGGAUCGAGACCACCAGGGUGCUUGCACAAGUGCCUAAACUGUUCGCCAUGCCAAGCCACAUUGGUUAUUCCUCCACACCAUAAGUUGAUCGAUUUUCGAGAUCAAUCUUCUCACGGAGACGAAGAUUGUUACUAUCUGCUUUCCUGGAAAUGCAAAUGCGGUGACAGACUCUUUCAACCUUGAUCAUUUUUAGUGGUGUCUUUCGCCAUGUUAACAAUCUGUGUGUGACAGAUAGCGUAUAAAAGUAUUGUGUAAUACUUCAAGUGCUGGUUGUUGCUGUCUAUUUCACUACCUUUGUGAUUAA